GAGUUUGAUCUUGGCUCAGAUUGAACGCUGGCGGCAUGCCUUACACAUGCAAGUCGAACGGCAGCAUGAUCUAGCUUGCUAGAUUGAUGGCGAGUGGCGAACGGGUGAGUAAUACAUCGGAACGUGCCCUGUAGUGGGGGAUAACUAGUCGAAAGAUUAGCUAAUACCGCAUACGACCUGAGGGUGAAAGUGGGGGACCGCAAGGCCUCAUGCUAUAGGAGCGGCCGAUGUCUGAUUAGCUAGUUGGUGGGGUAAAGGCCCACCAAGGCGACGAUCAGUAGCUGGUCUGAGAGGACGAUCAGCCACACUGGGACUGAGACACGGCCCAGACUCCUACGGGAGGCAGCAGUGGGGAAUUUUGGACAAUGGGGGCGAACCCUGAUCCAGCAAUGCCGCGUGUGUGAAGAAGGCCUCGGUUGUAAGU
rnacentral:rRNA from 1 species